AACGAACGCUGGCGGCAUGCCUAACACAUGCAAGUCGAACGAAGUCUUCGGACUUAGUGGCGCAACGGGUGCGUAACGCGUGGGAAUCUGCCCUUGGGUGCGGAAUAACUUCUCGAAAGGGAUGCUAAUACCGCAUAAUGUCGUAAGACCAAAGAUUUAUCGCCCAAGGAUGAGCCCGCGUAAGAUUAGCUAGUUGGUGGGGUAAAAGCCUACCAAGGCGACGAUCUUUAGCUGGUCUGAGAGGAUGAUCAGCCACACUGGGACUGAGACACGGCCCAGACUCCUAC
rnacentral:rRNA from 1 species